rnacentral:rRNA from 1 species
GUCUACGGCCAUGCCACCCUGAACAAGCCUGAUGUCUAAUCUCAGAAGAUAAGCAAGCAGGGUCGGGCCUGGUUAGUACUUGGAUGGGAAACUACCUAGGAAGACCAGGUGCUGUGGGCA